AGUGCUAUAGCUCAGUGGUAGAGCGCGUGCUUAGCAUGCAUGAGGUCCUGGGUUCAAUAACCAGUUACCUCCA
rnacentral:tRNA from 1 species